rnacentral:rRNA from 1 species
AAUCAACGCUGGCGGCGUGCUUAACACAUGCAAGUCGUGCGCGAAGGUGGCUUCGGCCACCGGAGAGCGGCGGACGGGUGAGUAACACGUGGGUAAUCUGCCUAGGAGUGGGGAAUAACCUGGGGAAACUCGGGCUAAUACCGCAUACGUCGUCGGGACUGCGGUCCCGACAAGAAAGCUGGCCUCUGCUUGCAUGCUAGCGCUCCUAGAGGAGCCCGCGGCUGAUAGCUAGUUGGUGAGGUAAUGGCUCACCAAGGCGACGAUCAGUAGCCGGCCUGAGAGGGUGAACGGCCACACUGGGACUGAGACACGGCCCAGACUCCUACGGGAGGCAGCAGUGGGGAAUAUUGGACAAUGGGCGAAAGCCUGAUCCAGCAACGCCGCGUGGAGGACGAAGGUCUUCGG